ACUGAGGUGGGUGAAAGGGGUCUGAAGUUGAGUGGAGGGGAGAAACAGAGAGUGGCCAUCGCUCGCACAAUCCUAAAAUCCCCUCGCAUUAUUUUGCUUGAUGAAGCUACAUCUGCUUUGGACAGUCAAACAGAGCGUAACAUUCAGGCUUCUCUCGCUAAGGUGUGUGCCAACCACACCACUCUGGUCGUGGCACACAGGCUAUCCACCAUCAUCAAAGCCGAUCAGAUCCUGGUUCUUCAUGACGAGCGGAUAGCAGAACAAGGAAGG